GGUGAACGCUGGCGGCGUGCUUAAGACAUGCAAGUCGAACGGCAGUCUUCGGACUGUAGUGGCGCACGGGUGAGUAACGCGUAACUGACCUACCCCAAAGUCGCGGAUAACGAUUCGAAAGAAUCGCUAAUACGUGAUGUGCUGUCAGAUUGUGUUCUGCCAGUAUAGAUUGAUUGCUUUGGGAUGGGGUUGCGUUCCAUCAGCUCGAUGGUGGGGUAACGCCCCACCAAGGCGACGACGGAUAGCCGGCCUGAGCGGGUGGCCGGCCACUGGUGCACUGUGAUACGGGUCCCACUCCUACAGUAGGCAGCAGUUCGGAAUGUUCCUCAACGGGCGAAAGCCUGAUGGAGCGACGCCGCGUGAGGGAUGAAUGUCUUCGGAUCCUAAACGUCUGAAUCAGGGACGAAUGACACUUCGGUGGGAUGACCGUACCUGAGUAAUAGCGCCGGCUAACUCCGUGCCAGACACCGCCAUAACAC
rnacentral:rRNA from 1 species